rnacentral:tRNA from 2 species
GGCGUGUUGACCGAGUGGCCCAAGGUGCAUGACUAGAAGAAGCAAGAGAUCAUGUGGGUUCGCCCGCGUAGGUUCGAAUCCUGCACACGUCG